GACGAACGCUGGCGGCGUGCUUAACACAUGCAAGUCACGGGGGUCCCGCAAGGGAUAACCGGCGAACGGGUGCGUAACACGUGAGCAACCUGCCUUUGUGUGGGGGAUAGCCGGGCUAACGCCCGGGUAAUACCGCAUACGGUCGCCUGGGGGAGUCCCUGGGCGAAGAAACCUCCGGGGCACAGAGAGGGGCUCGCGGCCUAUCAGCUAGGUUGGGGGG
rnacentral:rRNA from 1 species